UAGGGCUGAAUUUGUUGCUUUUCAGAGAGGGGCAGUCGGUCUGUACAUGCGUGAGGUGGCGAGAGGCGUGUCCAGGGGGCGGCUAGUAGCGUGUGCCACCGUGGAAAUAUGUACAGACAUAAAGAAGACGCCCUCAAGAAAGGCCUGAGUCCAGACCGAGACCCAGAGAAAUGUAAACAAACGCACCAGUCAGACUUGAUAUAGGAGUGAAUUUGUUGCUUUUUAAAGCGGCAGUCGGUCUGUACAUGUGUGAGGUGGCGAGGGGUGUCGCCAGGGGGCGGCUAGUAGCGUCUGCCACCAGGGAAAUAUGUAAAAACAUAAAAAAGACGCUUCUCAAGAAAGAGAGGGGCAGUCGGUCUGUACAUGCGUGAGGUGGCGAU